AUCUUUUAAACCACCUGAAACCACUUAAUCACAUCUGAUUUCAGAAGAUAAGCAAUUUCAGGCAUGGCUAGUACUUGGAUAGGAGCCCACCAGGGAAUAUCAGAGAUC
rnacentral:rRNA from 1 species